UUGGAGGGCAAGUCUGGUGCCAGCAGCCGCGGUAAUUCCAGCUCCAACAGCGUAUAUUAAAGUUGUUGCAGUUAAAAAACUCGUAGUUGAAUUUCGGGAUUAGUACGUUGGUCGUGCCUUCGGUACGUACUGGUGUUACUGAUUCCUACCUUCUGACGAACCAUCAUGUCAUUAAUUUGGUGUGGCGGGGAAUCAGGACUGUUACUUUGAAAAAAUUAGAGUGUUUAAAGCAGGCUCGCGCUUGAAUACAUUAGCAUGGAAUAAUGAAAUAGGACGUUGAUCCUAUUUUGUUGGUUUUUAGGAUUGACGUAAUGAUUAAUAGGGAUAGUUGGGGGCAUUAGUAUUCAAUUGUCAGAGGUGAAAUUCUUGGAUUUAUUGAAGACUAACUACUGCGAAAGCAUUUGCCAAGGAUGUUUUCAUUAAUCAAGAACGAAAGUUAGGGGAUCGAAGACGAUCAGAUACCGUCGUAGUCUUAACCAUAAACUAUGCCGACUAGGGAUCGGAUGAUGUUAUUUUUAAUGACUCAUUCGGCGCCUUACGGGAAAC
rnacentral:rRNA from 1 species